rnacentral:lncRNA from 1 species
GUACUUCUAUCUGUCACUUCUUAAACUCUCUCAAAAAAUUUGGUCCAUUCUUGGUUACGACCAAAGUUGGGGAGGUCGCCUACACCCUACAAUUGCCGCCUGACACUAAAAUCCACCCAACCUUCCACGUUUCUCAGCUCAAGUGCCACAUUGGUCAACAACCUGCCUCUGCCAUAUUGCCUCCUAUGAGGCCUGAAGGAAUGCUACCGAAAGAACCAUCUCGAAUUUAGAUUGCCGCAUUACCAAAAUAGGUCAUCAGGCUGUCACUAAGG